AAGCCUCGUGACGAAGUGAGCUGGUCAAGUCCACGUUUGGCGUGGUCAAGACCAAGGAAAGUCCCCGGGCCACCUUUCGCAGAGAUGCGGCCUCGGAAACGAGGAAUCUUCGAGCAUGUGAAAUCCAUUCCUUCGUGGAAGGGCUGAGACGCGUGUGGAGCCCGGAUUUCCGCCGAAGCAUCUUGGCCGUAUACACAGUCAUUCACUUGAUCCUAUCAUGGAUUAACUGAACGGGGAUUACGAUCAUGUGGCU
rnacentral:RNase_MRP_RNA from 1 species